rnacentral:lncRNA from 1 species
AUCAGUCAUUAGCUCGUCCAAACUCUCAUGAAUCCUCAACUCUCCUCUAUUUUUCUGACCAUCAGAAAGAGCCAUGGUUCCAGAGAGUCCAAUAGCUAUAUUUUGUAACCAGAAAAGACAAAAAGAAAAGCAUCAAAAUCAUUUCAUGUAGAAAUAAUAAAGUUAGUGAAAUUCAAAAUACAAACAGCUUUAACAUUUAGUCUUCCAAAACCUAAAACACAAAGGAAAUUUCAAAGUUGUUCAAGAUCCAGCUUCAUAUCCAGAAAACAAAUUUCUGGUCAAGCGAAACAGAAAAUAAGAAUAUAGCUAAGCAAUUACUUCAAUUUUUACUUUUUGUUUGACUACAUAUUAUAAAGCUGAAGGUUUUUUUUUUUUUUUUAAAUCUAUAAGCUACUGCUAACCCCCAUGAAUUCAAUUUGCUAGUGGACUCUCUAAUUGUCAAAAAAGAAAACAAUUGAACAAAAAGGUAUCAUCGCCACAACCUAAAUUUCCAGAGAUCGAGACCUAGAAAUGAAAACGGCUCAAAACAAGCGCACACUAGCAGAAAAAGAAAACUACAGAAGAAGAAACACAUGUCCCAGAUCAUAAUACAUGUUAAAUUGACACCCUCUACUGCUGCGGAAACUAAUAAAAGAACAAAGCAUGAUAGUCAAUCAUAGUCUCAUGCAGUUUAACAUAACCUGAAACUGUAUCACACACAGAAUCCAAACUUUUCACAACAAAAUAACGAAAGAAAACACUUACAUAGAAAAAUAUAAAAAUAGAGAGAAGAUGGUUCGCAGAAGAAGCUGACGAAUGGAG